rnacentral:rRNA from 1 species
GACGAACGCUGGCGGCGUGCUUAACACAUGCAAGUCGAACGGAAAGGCCCUGCUUUUGUGGGGUGCUCGAGUGGCGCACGGGUGAAUCACACGAAAGACUCCUGCCCUUGCCUUUGGGAUAACUUCAGGAAACUGGCGAUAAUACCGGAUAGGAGUUCCUGCUGCAUGGUGGGGGUUGGAAAGUUUCGGCGGUUGGGGAUGGACUCGCGGCUGAUUAGCUUGUUGGUGGGGUAGUGGCUUACCAAGGCUUUGACGGGUAGCCGGCCUGAGAGGGUGAUCGGCCACAUGGGGACGGAGAUACGGCCCAGACUCCUACGGGAGGCAGCAGUGGGGAAUAUUGCACAAUGGGCGGAAGCCUGAUGCAGCAACUCCGCGUGCGGGAAGACAGCCUUCGGGUUGUAAACCUCUUUCGCCUGUGGCGAAGCGUGAGUGACGGAAAUGGGUAAAGAAGCACCGGCUAAUUACGU